rnacentral:rRNA from 1 species
UACGUAGGGGCCGAGCGUUGUCCGGAUUCAUUGGGCGUAAAGAGCGUGUAGGCGGCCGCUUAAGUCCUGCGUGAAAUCUCGGAGCUCAACUCCGAGCGGUCGUGGGAAACUGGGCGGCUAGAGUGCGGGAGAGGAGAGUGGAAUUCCUGGUGUAGCGGUGGAAUGCGCAGAUAUCAGGAAGAACACCCGUGGCGAAGGCGGCUCUCUGGAACGCAACUGACGCUGAGACGCGA